GGUCUGAUGCCACGUCGCUGGUAGCUUUAAUUGCAGUGACCAGUGAUGCUAUGAUUGGACCAAAAUCAAAAGUGAAUUUCGUUUGUUUCGCAUCCUGAUAGGAAUCUGUGGAUUUCAUACUUUAUGAUCUGCGGAGCCGUUUUGUGCGAUUACAUUU